CCUGAGAUGAGUGAAAAUGGUGUUAGAAGCAGAGACUCCUGACUGUACCAUGAGCGGCCUGAAGUAUUUGAAAUCUGUCUGGUUUUCAUCCUCACAACCACCACCUCAGGAGCCCCUGGCUCUGACAUGGUGAAUGGGUAGUAGCGCGGGAGCUACAUCCAAACUUGAGUGUAAUAACUGAGUGCUCCUGAGGUCAUAAAGGUAUUCCCAGAAGUAACCAGAAGAUUCAUUUAUCACCAUAGCUCAUGCAACAAACAGUAGCUUGAAGCAGAGAAAAAAAAUCACCUCCGCUCUCAGGUAUUCAACAGGGAUAGCAUCCAAUUCAGCUUCAGCAGUUUCUUUGUUUUGAAGAUCUGGUGGUGCCUGGCUAGUGAUGUGCUUCAAGUGUACCAAGCAACUGGAUAUGCUGCAACUCCCAGGGAGAAAGCAAUGGAAUAUUCUGCUCUGGAGAAAGCAGCACCAUAAGCUGCCCUACAGGCCAC